rnacentral:rRNA from 1 species
AUUGAACGCUGGCGGCAUGCCUUACACAUGCAAGUCGAACGGUAACAGGUCUUCGGAUGCUGACGAGUGGCGAACGGGUGAGUAAUACAUCGGAACGUGCCUAGUAGUGGGGGAUAACUACUCGAAAGAGUGGCUAAUACAGCAUGAGAUCUACGGAUGAAAGCAGGGGAUCGCAAGACAUUGUGCUAACAGAGAGGCCGAUGGCAGAUUAGGGAGUUGGUGGGAUAAAAGCUUACCAAGCCGACGAUCUGUAGCUGGUCUGAGAGGACGAGCAGCCACACUGGGACUGAGACACGGCCCAGACUCCUACGGGAGGCAGCAGUGGGGAAUUUUGGACAAUGGGCGAAAGCCUGAUCCAGCAAUGCCGCGUGCAGGAUGAAGGCCUUCGGGUUGUAAACUGCUUUUGUACGGAACGAAAAGCCCCGGGUUAAUACCCUGGGGUCAUGACGGUACCGUAAGAAUAAGCACCGGCUAACUACGUGCCAGCCGCCGCCGUAA